rnacentral:lncRNA from 1 species
AUGACGCGGGGAAAGCAGAAAAUCGAAGCGCAGAAGCGUAACGCAGAGAAGAAUCAGAAAUCAAAAGGCUCUCAGAUUGAAGCCAGAGCCGAAGGUCUCAAAAUCACAUGCCCAAUCUGCAAGGUCCAACUUGCAAAUCCAAACCAACUUGCUGAUCAUUAUGCCUCAAAACAUCCAAAGGAGAAGCCUCCAGGAGAAUCAAGCUAG